rnacentral:rRNA from 1 species
UACGGAGGAUCCGAGCGUUAUCCGGAUUUAUUGGGUUUAAAGGGUGCGUAGGUGGCCUGUUAAGUCAGGGGUGAAAGACGGUAGCUCAACUAUCGCAGUGCCCUUGAUACUGAUGGGCUUGAAUGAACUAGAGGUAGGCGGAAUGUGACAAGUAGCGGUGAAAUGCAUAGAUAUGUCACAGAACACCAAUUGCGAAGGCAGCUCGCUGGGACGGUACUGACACUGAGACGCGAAAGCGUGGGGAGCAAACAGG